CAUGAAAUUAAGGCUAUAAGAAGAAAAACAAGAUAUUUAGAGGCCAUUUACAAGACUUUGACUACUCAUUUUACUUGUGGAGUCUUGGUUGUAUGUUUUACAGAAUGACAAUAAUGAUCAACUUGUGAAGACUGUCAAGGAUACAGUGGCUGAACCAAGGACUUUACUAAGAGGAUCCAAAAUAUAAAGAGCAAACAUACAACCCAUGCAUUUUUGCCUCUGAAGGGGUGCAAGAUGAGGAUCUAACUCCAAUUGGUACUUGCUUACAUGCAAUGGCGGAGCCACAUGCAUCCGGUGUCAACCGAUACUCCUUUGCCGAAAAAUUACACUGUGUAAAUACGAAAAAAGAAUUUUUUAAUGUAUAUAUACUAUGUGUUGAAUCCCUUUAAUUUCGCUGUAUAUUUACUUUUUUAUAUUUUACAACCCCUUUGUAAAAAUUCUAGUUGCGCCACUGCUUACAUGGGGAUCUAAGUAGGCGUUUGGCCAUGAAAACCAAAACUUAUUCACUUUAUUUGGAAUUUUGAAGUUAGAGUUGAA